UGGGGAAUUUUGGACAAUGGGCGAAAGCCUGAUCCAGCAAUGCCGCGUGUGUGAAGAAGGCCUUCGGGUUGUAAAGCACUUUUGUCCGGAAAGAAAUCCUUGGCUCUAAUACAGUCGGGGGAUGACGGUACCGGAAGAAUAAGCACCGGCUAACUACGUGCCAGCAGCCGCGGUAAUACGUAGGGUGCAAGCGUUAAUCGGAAUUACUGGGCGUAAAGCGUGCGCAGGCGGUUUGCUAAGACCGAUGUGAAAUCCCCGGGCUCAACCUGGGAACUGCAUUGGUGACUGGCAGGCUAGAGUAUGGCAGAGGGGGGUAGAAUUCCACGUGUAGCAGUGAAAUGCGUAGAGAUGUGGAGGAAUACCGAUGGCGAAGGCAGCCCCCUGGGCCAAUACUGACGCUCAUGCACGAAAGCGUGGGGAGCAAACAGGAUUAGAUACCCUGGCAGUCCACGCCCUAAACGAUGUCAACUAGUUGUUGGGGAUUCAUUUCCUUAGUAACGUAGCUAACGCGUGAAGUUGACCGCCUGGGGAGUACGGUCGCAAGAUUAAAACUCAAAGGAAUUGAC
rnacentral:rRNA from 1 species